CACACACACACACACACACACACACACACACACAGUGAAUAAUUUAGUGUGCCCAUUUGGCUGACACACUGGAACGACCCUUAUGGUGGCAAAAACAACCGAUUUGUUUUGUUUUUAUUUUUAAAUAGGGCCUAUCCGGAGGGGCCCCUCCGACGGGAGCCGAAAUAGGCCGGCGUUUGCGACGAGACUCGUGUAGCCUUUGAUGGGUCGCUAGAGCUAGCGGUGAUGGCAGCCAAAUAUGUUUUCCUCACAGCGUGGGCCUCCUGGAACAGUCAUCAGCCAAGCGUGCUCUCACGCUGCCCGCUGAGGUAGGCUUCAGGCGGACGCCAGACGGCCGCGGUUCGACAGCGCACCGAGGGUUGAAGCACCGCAGUCCCCUUGGCAACCGCGGACGUUGUGUUUUAUUGAUAAACACUUAACACACAUUAGGCUUGUAACCUAGUGUUUCGUGUUUUAUUGAUAAAACAGCCACUACAAACCAGGCCCAUUACUUAUGGUGCAGAUGAAGAGAGGCAUCUCCUGCCGUGCCCGUCCGGCAGCUGGUUGAGGUGGAGGAGCCUGCGGCCAGGCUGUGACUCAGGCCAGUGUCAUCGCGCUGCGGUUCUGGUUCAUCUGAACGUGCGGAGACCAUUAGCAACGCAAGUCACCGUGUUGCGUCUGAUCUCUCCGAUGGCGAACGCGGCUCCGGCGGUCGACUAUUGGAGCAGGCUAAACUUAAAUAAGUUCUGGACGAAAGAUAAAGCAGAAGAACA